rnacentral:rRNA from 1 species
CUUUCAGCUUGUUGGUGGGGUAAUGGCCUACCAAGGCGACGACGGGUAGCCGGCCUGAGAGGGUGAUCGGCCACACUGGGACUGAGACACGGCCCAGACUCCUACGGGAGGCAGCAGUGGGGAAUAUUGCACAAUGGGCGGAAGCCUGAUGCAGCGACGCCGCGUGGGGGAUGACGGUCUUCGGAUUGUAAACCCCUUUCAGUAGGGACGAAGCGCAAGUGACGGUACCUGCAGAAGAAGCACCGGCCAACUACGUGCCAGCAGCCGCGGUAAUACGUAGGGUGCGAGCGUUGUCCGGAAUUACUGGGCGUAAAGAGCUCGUAGGCGGUUUGUCACGUCGUCUGUGAAAUCCUCCAGCUUAACUGGGGGCGUGCAGGCGAUACGGGCAGACUUGAGUACUACAGGGGAGACUGGAAUUCCUGGUGUAGCGGUGAAAUGCGCAGAUAUCAGGAGGAACACCGGUGGCGAAGGCGGGUCUCUGGGUAGUAACUGACGCCGAGGAGCGAAAGCAUGGGUAGCGAACAGGAUUAGAUACCCUGGUAGUCCAUGCCGUAAACGGUGGGCGCUAGGUGUGGGGUCCUUCCACGGAUUCC